rnacentral:lncRNA from 1 species
AAGGAUCACAGACUAUGUGAGUUAAAUUUAGGGUUUUACUCUUUUAACAUCAUGUCCAGUUUUAACCGCUGAGGAUUUCUAUAAAUACUGAUACAAAAUGUGUUAGCUCUCCACAACUCAACUCACUCAAAUCCUAACAACACACAAAACAAUCACAAUGAAGAAACCUUCAGUAGUCUUUUUUCUCAGCACUCUCAUGUUGGCUGCAGUUGUCUGCAUCCAAGGACAAGGACCGGAAGAGGUGAUGGACAAGGACGGUAAUCCAGUUAAACUCGGUGAACAAUACUUCAUCCAGCCGGUGAAGACCAAAAGUAACAACGGAGGUGGUCUUGUCCCAGCGGCCACUAAUAUACUUCCCUUUUGUCCUCUUGGUAUCACCCAAUCACUCCUUCCGUACCAACCUGGCCUACCGGUUAGCAUCAAAUUACCAUACCCUCUAAUGGAAACAAUUGUUAAGACAUCAGUAGCUGUGAACAUCGAGUUCAAGUCCGACAUCUGGCCGGUCUGCAACGAAUAUUCCAAGUUAUGGGAAGUCGAUGUUUCCUCAUCAGCUCCCAAAGAGCCUGCGAUUCUCAUUGGUGGUAAACAACGAGAGAAGAAUAGCUGGUUUAGGAUCGAGAAGGCCGGAGAAGGAGAAGGAGCAAACACUUACAAGUUGACUACCGCAACCGGAACCGUUGGAGCCAUCCCUGGGACUUGGUUAGGUGCACCACAACUAGUUCAAACCAAUGAUGAUGCUAAGACCUUACUCGUCAAAUUCAGCAAGGUCGAUGAUGAUACUACGGCUACUACUUCUACUUCUCGGGUCGAGAAGUUAGGUCUACGGAUGUUCCCUUUCUACUAGUCAAGUGGUAACUAAAAUCAUGUAAUAUAAAGCCUGAGACUCGUCCAUGGCCAAAAUAAUGGGUUGAGAUAAUACCCAUACCCAUGUUCGUAUUAUCCAUGAAUUAAAUAAAACUAUGCUUUCUAGCGCUUUAUCAUGAGUCCAUUAGGGCAUUUUUAUCGCUAGAGUCGUUCGGCCCUUAAGACAAUUAAAAAACUCAGAUAAUCCAAAUAGUGGAAUUGUAAGGUGCAUUCGCUUUUUGCCGGAGAUGUUUUGAUAAAAGAGUCUUAGGUUACGUGUAAUGUUGUGAUAGGGUGUUUAUUUUUGUUGGUUUUAAAAGAUUAAUGUUUUUUUUGGUGAAUUGACGGGAGAUAGUGUCCACCCUAUGUUUUAUUAAAAAAAUCAAAAUUACACAUAAAUGUCACGUCGCUCAGGUGGACCAACAAUAUCCUCAUUUAAAAUCAACACCAAAUCUAUCGGUACAAAACUCAAAAAAUAAAAACCUAAAGACAAAGAAAACACAUAGUUAACUCGCCCAUCUGCAAGACGGUUAGCUUCCUUAUACACAUGCGAUGAUUAAUGUUUUUAUUGCUAUGGUUUUUGCUUACCUAGAUUUUUUUUGUGGAUCCCUUUUCUUCUCAUCCUUUUCUAUUUUCUCUUUUAUUUUUUCUACUUCUUCUUCUUUCUCACUCACUCACUAGUCUUGUUUUGUUUUGUUAGGUUGAGACUUGAGAAUUACAUAUUAAGAUUUUUCUUAAUUUCUUUGUCUAUUUCUAACAAAAAACACAUACGAGGUUUUCUUUACUUUAUGAUCAAGUAGAAAAAAAGAAAAAAAAAAUCUGUCCCGGUUCCCAAUGCAGAACCCCUGGUUCUCCAAUGGCCGUGCUUCCGCCUUGAAUCCAAGCGUUCCCACUGCUGGUGGUAACCUCAGCCCUUCUCCCCCAGUUCCCCCAGACCCUCCUGAUCCCUCUCUCCCCCACUGUUCCCUUUCCUCGUUUCCCCCUCUGUCUCCUAAGCCCCAAUCUCUGCAAGUGUCUUCUCUCCAAACUGCUCCUCCUGUAGGGCCUGGUGUGAAGUCUUCAGACUUGGUUGUUGCCUCAAACUCUACUACUACUGAUGUUGUGAUGCAUCCAGUUGACGAAAUCGCUACUCCUCCAGUAGAUCUUGGUGUGUUAAACCCUAGAUCUACAAUCACUGUUCAAGCCAUGAACAAAAGUACUGCCCCUGCGAAAUUCACUGUUUUAACUCCCAAAUCCUCUUCUCCUUUACUCACCAAUAAAGCGUCGACCUCUUCAUUCCCCCCAAACCCACCACAAACAGCCUUCCCACUUCCAAAUAAACCCUCCCAAACCCAAAAACUAGCCUCCCCAAAAACUGGAUCUCUAUCCUCUUCUUUACCUACCCCACCCCAAGGACAAACAUCAAUUGUCCAAGCAGAACAACUUCCUUCUGUUACUCCGAUUGAAAAUCCUAAAGCUCCUGGUUCGACCCCCAGUGUUCCUGGACCAGCUGCUCCUUCUACCAGCCUCCCUCAAGCCACAGGAAAGAAAACCCUGGUUGAGCGGCUGAGGAAGAAUGUGAAUAGAACAUUACAAAGAUUAGCCCCUGUAUCUUUAUCUAACUCUGGAAGGCCAUGUGUUCACAUCCCUGAUGCAGUCUUUCACAGAGGAGCUGAGCUUCACAAGGACUUCAUAAUCUGUUUCUUCAAUGGCAGGCCACCCCUCUACCAUCAGAUUCAGAGUGUCCUUAAUCAUAUUUGGGGUAAAGGCCAGCGUUUGGAGAUCCAUGUCAACCACUCAACAAGAUCCAUGCUUGUCAGAAUCCCAAAUGAGUACAUUAGGCAGAAAGUCCUUGAAAGAUGCAUUUGGUAUAUAGGGGACUCCAUGUUCCACACCACCUCCUGGUCCGCCAAUUACUCCUCUGACACUCCUGUACUUGACUCAAUCCCAAUAUGGAUACAUAUGCUCAACAUUCCUCUUGACCUGAGAACCAUUGAAGGAAUCAGUCUCAUCUCAGGGUUAGUAGGAGAGCCUGUAGAAACUGAUGAUUUUACUAUUAAUUUAGUGAGUUUGAAAGUUUCUCAUGCAAAGGUAAUUGUCGAUCUUACAAAGCCCUUACCUGCUGUUGUGGAAUAUACUAGAGAUAAUGGUCAGAUUGUUGAGGUUGAAGUGGAAUAUCCUUGGUUGCCUCCCACUUGCUCACAUUGUAAAGAGUUAGGCCACAUUGUUAAGAACUGCCUGCAACUCCCACCUCACUCUGAUCUUCCGCCUAAAGAUGAUGUUCCUGCAAAGACAGACAAAGCUACCUCUACUGCUGAUAGCUCAAAAGACAAGGGAGAGCAAUCUGUGCCUCUCUCUUCUACCAUUUUUAUUCCUGUGAAAAGGAAAAAGAAUGAUAUCAAGGCCACAAAUGUUUCAAAACCCUCUACUUCCCAAACCCCCUCAAAGCCCCCCUCAUCUUCCACAAACCUUUUUGCACCAUUAUCCCAUCCAACCCCCUCUUUAAAUACUCCUCCCCCAAAACAGUCUAAUCUCACAAAAAACCCCACAAAAAACCCCACUAAAUCAGUUAUUAUCCCUUCCCAACCCUCUGCUAACUCUGUCCCACAAACCCCUGCCACCAUAAACUCCCUUUCUCCUGCACCCAAGACCACCAUUGUCUCUCCAGUGGUCCCCACUCACAUUAAACAGCUGCCAGUUGUUGUUGGACUUCCUGCCUCUAUUACUCCCUCUGGCCUCCCAUACCCCCACUCUCCUCCCCCUGAUCAAAGGCUUAAUUCAUCUCUUAAAAGAUCCCGUUCUCACCCCACCCUUUCUGAUUCUCCCCCUCUUUAUUUGGACCCCCAUCCACCCCUUUUGACCCCCUUUGUUACUGAACCAGUCACUUUUUUGUCCCCUUCUCUUGUCCCUGAACCUGCUAAGGAUGGUUCUGUGCCUCCUUUGGUUGAUCCCCCCCCUCUAUCCUAAUGGAUACAAAAAACUUUUUUUGGAACUUCCGUGGCCUAAAUGACCCGGAUAAGCAUCAGCCCUUAAAUAAAUGGCUUAGUAGCUAUCAACCACUUUUUGGCGCACUUUUGGAAACGCAUAUAAAGGAUCUUAGUUUGAACCAGAUUAUGAAUAAAGCAUGUCGUGGAUGGAAUUUUACUUCCAAUCAUUUGUCGGAUGAAGAUGGUAGAAUCGUUAUCAUAUGGAAGGAUCCGGCCUCAGUUCGAGUGUUGCACCAGUCCAAGCAGUCUCUAACCUGUGAAGUAAAUAUUGCCAACAAACUUAAGUUUGUGUUCACUGCGGUGUAUGCAUCUAAUCUAAGAGAGGAAAGAACUGACCUUUGGGUGGAACUUCUCAACCUCCAGCAAUCUUUCUCGUUAGAUUCUUGUCCCUGGCUUGUUGGGGGUGACUUUAAUCAGAUUGUCCAUUAUGGGGAACAUUCCUCGCCCACAGUCAAUUCCAUCACUCCCCCAAUGGUUGAGCUGUCAGACUGCCUUUCUCAGUUGGAGUUGUUUGACUUGAGAUCUCAGGGGCCAACCUUUACGUGGAGUAACAACCAGCCUCUAUCCCCUGUUGCAAAGAAGCUUGAUCGUGUAUUGGUGAACCAUCACUGGAUCUCUUUAUUUCCAGACAGCACUGCCACCUUUUUACCUCCGUUUCCCUCUGACCAUGCCCCAAGCCUUGUAAACCUUGCUUAUCAACUCCCGAGAGCUGGUACCAGACCUUUCAAGUUCUUUAACUACCUUACCAAACACCCAAACUUCCUUCAGUUAGUGGAUGAAGCCUGGAUUCAAGCCGGAAGCUUUGCUUCAAAUCUCACAGACCUGUGUUGGAAGCAAAAGGCUAUUAAAGGAGAACUAAAACACUUAAAUAGAGAGCACUUUUCAGACAUUCAAAUGAGAGUUAGUGAGGCUAACCGUUUGUUAUUGGAUGUACAGGUACAAGCUCUGGCAAGCCCAUCACCUACCAUCUUUCAGCUGGAGAGAGACACUCAUGAUAAGUGGCACUUUCUAAGGAGUAUUGAGGAGAGUUACUUUAAGCAAAAGUCAAGAAUAAAUUGGCUUAAAGAGGGAGACCUGAAUACCUCUUAUUUCCACAAGAUCUGCCAGUCGAGAGCAAGUUAUAACACUAUUCGCUCGUUUCUGUUGGACUCUGGUGCUCUGCUAACGGAUCCUGUGCUUAUGAGCACUCAUGCAAUCACCCACUUUAAGUCUAUCUUAGCUCCUGAUCAUCUUGCUCCUCCUGCUCAGUGGUCUUCUCUUCAAUGGUUCCAAGAGUUAAACCCUUUCAGAUGUCCACCAUCCCAGUCCAGAGCUAUGUUACUUAUACCGGCUCACUCUGAAAUAGCAAGAAUACUAUUCAAACUCAACCCUAACAAGGCCCCUGGACCGGAUGGAUUAACUUCUGGAUUCUAUAAAGCAACUUGGGGAAUCUUAGGCGAUGAAGUGGUUACCUCUAUCAGUCGCUUCUUCCUCACCUCUUUCAUGCCAGCCUCCACAAAUGCCACCAUCCUCACUUUGGUGCCCAAACAUUCUGGUGCCUCUAGAAUUGUUGACUACCGUCCCAUAUCCUGUCUCAAUACUCUCUACAAAGUUGUCUCCAAGCUCCUGGUUGCUAAGCUCAAGCCAAUUCUCCCCUCUCUCAUCCUACCAAAUCAAACGGCCUUUGUUCAAGACAGACUACUCCUUGAGAACACCAUCCUUGCUGCUGAGAUUGUUAACGGAUACCAUAAAAACCAGGGCCCCAAGAGAGUGGUUAUUAAGGUUGACAUUGCAAAAGCUUUUGACACGGUUUCUUGGGAUUUCCUCUUCCAGUGCCUCCGGGGUCUUGAACUUCCUGAGUUGUUCCUCAACUGGCUCCAUGCUUGUGUCUGUUCACCAAGUUUCAUGGUUGGUUAUAAUGGUACAGUUCAAGGUUAUUUCAAAGGUAAAAGAGGUCUUAGGCAGGGAGACCCUCUUUCCCCUUACCUUUUUGUAAUAGCUAUGAACACCUUAUCUCUAAUGCUUAAUAAAGCUGCAGAAGAGGGAAGGUUCAAGUAUCAUCACAACUGUGAUAAGGCCAAACUCACUCACCUCUGUUUUGCGGAUGAUCUUCUCAUCUUCUUGGACGGUUCCCUCAGUUCUGUUCAGGCUGUCCUCCAUGUUCUGAAAGAGUUUGAGGAAAGAUCAGGCCUUGCCAUCAGCAUUCAUAAGUCUUCCUACUUUGCUGGAGGGCUAUCAGAUGAGGAAACAAACCUCAUUACUACAGUGACUGGACUCCCACUUGGUUGUCUCCCGGUUCGCUAUCUAGGAGUCCCUCUAUGCACAAAAAAGCUAAACAUUCAAGACUGUGAACCUCUACUGCAACAAGUCAAAGGAAAAAUCAAUAGUUGGACUACUAAAUACCUAUCUUUUGCAGGGCGAUUGCUGCUAAUCAACACGGUUAUUGCAGGAAUCACAAACUUCUGGUGCUCCUCUUUUGUCCUGCCUAAGCUCUGCAUUCAAAAGAUAAACUCAAUCUGUAGUGCCUUCCUAUGGAAAGGAAAUCUAGAAGGACAUCACUCUGCUAGAGUUUCUUGGGAGAAGAUUUCAAAGCCAAAGACCCAGGGAGGAUUGGGAAUUAAAGACCUCACCAGCUGGAAUAGGGCUUGCUCCAUAAGACUCAUCUGGCUUCUUUUCUUUAGAUCGGGAUCUGUUUGGGUAGCUUGGUACAAGGAACACUUCCUGCGUGGGUCUUUGAACAACUUUUGGACUAUGAAACAAAGACCAGUUUACUCAUGGUUAGCAAAUAAAUUGUUGAAAAUCAGAGACGUGUGCUAUAAUUGGAUAAAGAUGCGGGUUGGGAAUGGUCUUACUUGUAGGUUCUGGACGGACAACUGGUCUCCUUUUGGACGGCUCUCGACCUUCCUCUCCGAUACUGCAACCUCAAGACUUGGAAUUCGCCAACAGUCUACUCUUUCUCAGCUGUACAACCGGGGCACAUGGAUGCUACCAAACCCCAGAUCAGAUACUCAACUAUCUCUCCAUAUCUUCCUCACUACGCUAUCCUUAUCUAACUUUGAUGACCACUACGAAUGGGAACUAGAUGGGAAGACCUAUACACGCUACUCUACUGGGCAAGUCUAUCGAGCUAUCACUAUGCAAUCGCCUUUGGUUCCUUGGAGAGAAGUCGUCUGGUUCUCCGGGAGCAUUCCAAAACACAGUUUCCUCACUUGGCUUUUGGUUCAGAAUCGGUGUCCCACACGAGAUCGUAUCCUGGGAUGGGGGCUUCAAACGGAUCCAUUAUGCCUCCUCUGUGGCUCUUCACCUGAGUCUAGGGACCAUAUCUGGUUUGACUGCGGAUUCGCUUGGUCCAUCUGGGAAAACAUAGCAAGUCGAUGUGGGAUCUCUCCCCUGAGAUCUUGGGAGGCAUCGCUACACCAUUUGCAGGGGAUGAACGGGGAUAAAGCUCGCCGGCGAUUAACCCUUCUUGCUUGGCAGUGUUCCCUUUACUUGAUUUGGGCGGAGAGGAACAAUCGACUCCACCGUUGCUCUUUCCGAUCAGUGGAUGAUCUCCUCCGACAAAUUGAUACAACUAUCAGAAAUCGGAUUGCCUCGUACAGAGAUUCGAAUUCUUCUAUUGCUUCGCUUAUGCUGCAACAUUGGUUCUCCUCUGCUUGAUCUUCCGACAUUUGUCGUCUACUAUUCCAUCAACUAGGGCAUGCUACUUUCUCUAGGUUCAACUUAAGAUCCAUUUGUGUUUGUUUUGUGCUAUUCGGGCUAGGCCCACAUCAAAAAACUACUAAGGCUGGGCUUUUGUAAUCUUUUUCUUUUCUUUUUGCAAUUAAUAGAAAGCCUGUUACAAAAAAAAAGGUUUUCUUUACUUUAUUUCUAUCCCUUCAAAUUUUAAAAUCUUCAAAUAACAAAAAAAAUACUUUAAAAUCUUCAAUAUUUCUAUUCUUGUUUUGACUAAUUUUAUAAUUUUUUGUUUUGUUUGAAACUAAUAGUAUGUCAUCAACAUAUCUUAAAACCUUAAUCUAAAUAUGUUUUAUGUUUAUUUUUAUAAUUUUCAAUUUAUUAAUUAUUUAAUUAAUUAAAAAUUUAUUAAUAAGUUUUACAUUAUUUUAUUAUUAAAAAUUUAAGAUCUUACAGGUUUAACCAAUAAUAACCUAUAUAUCUGUGGUUCUUAACUUACACUUUUACAUUAUUAAUAUACAAAAAAAACUCUAAGUUACAUCUUAAAGCUUAUGCCUUUAAAGAUGCUCUUACUAACGAGAUUGUCAUAAAAUCAAUUAUGAUAUAAAUAUAAUUAAAUUACAUAUAAAUCACAAGUAGCAUAUAAUUAAGUAUGAAAUUGAUAUUUUUGUAGACAAACUUAUGAAUUUAAUCAAUCUGUGUUCAUCCGAUGAAUAUAUCAAAUCAAAGGAUAUUGCUAUCUCAUGUAAAAUUAUAAUAUCAAUCAAAUACAAAUUUAAAACCGAUGUAAUAAAGUAUAUCCAAUGGAGAAAAAAAUGAAAAAUGAUUUACGAAGUGAUGGUCUUGUAGUUGUUAUCAUAAUUAGUUUGUUUUACACUUUUCCUAUAUAAACAUUUAUUACAAAAGUAAUUUUAAAAUCUCAUUAGGGUCUUUAGUUAGCGAACUCCAGAAAUUAAGUUUUUUUUUGUUGAGAGAGAAAGAGAGAUUGAACGUACGUCACAAAAUAAUGUCUCUGAGUACACACGGUGAUGAGUCAGACAGUCUGAUCGAUCGCCAUGGUCCAUCGAAAUGAAGGGCUUGGGACCUUUUUCAUUGGAAGGUUAUUUAUGAAACGCGCCAAGUGGUAAGAAAAUAAAUAAAUGUAUGGAUACAAAGAUAUUGAGAAUUACUCUUACGUCGGUUCACUCGUCCCUAUCUCUCUCAAGUAUGAAAUCUUGUCUUUUUCCCAUGAAUUAUUUGAACGGUUUUCAUAAGCCUAAACCCUCUUUUCUUCAUAUUGUUUGUUAACAUGGACCAUUGUGCAUUUUCCUCAUGCUGAAAAUCCAAGUUUGAAUCAGUAACAGAAGAGUCUAAAGCCCUUUUUUCAACCCUCACUGUUGUAGAAAGUAAAAAAAAAAAAAAAGAUUCUCCUUAAUUUACUGAAUAUAAUGCCCUAUUUUUAACCGCUGAGGAUUUCUAUAAAUACCAAUACAAAAUGUGUUUAGUCUCCACAACUCAGCUCACUCAAACCCUAAAACACACAAAACCAUCACAAUGAAGAAACCUUCAGUAGUCUCUUUUCUCAUCACUCUCAUGUUGGCUGCAGCUGUCUGCAUCCAAGGAAAUGAACCGGAGGAAGUGAAGGACAGGGACGGAAAUCCAGUUGAACUCGCAAAUCAAUACUUCAUCCAGCCCGUGAAGACCGAACGUAACAACGGAGGUGGUCUUGUCCCAGCGACCGCUAAGAUAUUUCCCCUUAUCUCUUGUCCACUUGUUGUCACCCAAACAAUCCUUCCACUCCAACCAGGCGUUCCGGUUAGAUUUGCUUUACCGCUUAGCGAAGCAGAAGUUAUUUCGACAUCUUCCGUUGUAACUAUCGAAUUCUAAUCCAACUUCUGGCCGGUUUGCAACGAGUUCUUAAAGUUAUGGAAAGUGAAUGAUUCCUCAUCAGCUUCCAAGGAGCCAGCAAUUAUCAUAGAUGGUACUACACCUCAGGCACAAAACAGCCAGUUUAAGAUUGAGAAAGCCGCAACAGGGGAAAACACUUACAAGUUGAUCAGUGUUACCGGAGCAGGAACUGUUGGAGCCAUCCGAGGGAGGUGGUUUGACGCACCACAACUAGUUCUCACCAAUGAUGAUGCGAAGAUCAUAGCCGUCAAAUUCAAAAAGGCUGAUGAUGCUACUACGGUUACUACUUCUACUUCUCGUGUUGAGAAGUUAGGUCUGAAGAUGUUCCCUUUCUACUAGUGAACCAGUCAAAAUCAUGUAAUGUAAAACCCCGAGACUCUUCAUGACCAUGGCCAAAUAUAAUGGAUUGAGAUAAUUCUAUGUCAUUAUCUUUCCAUAAAUUAAAUAAAAACAUGUUUUCUAGCACCUUAUUAAUUAUGCAUCUCGCCCUUGUCAUUGAGCUUUGCUAACAAAGGAAGAAGGAAAUGGAAUAGUUAAAUUUUGAGGAAAAACAGGAAAAAAUAAAAAAUAUAUCAAAUAACCUAGGGUUUCCCUAAAAUGAUAUUAUUUGUUAGUUCGAUUUCAUAUAAUGUUGUUCUUUGAUUAGAAUAUGAAGAUGAUAUAUAUGUAUUGGUUUAAAAAGCAAAAUAACUAGUACAUAUAAUAUCCGUUCAAAACAGGCAAAUCACAAGUAAAAGUUUCCGAUCAGUUAGUAACUAGCCAUGUUGUGUGCUCUCGAAUUUUAGGCGUAUGGACGUAUGGUCCUUUGAGAAUUCCCAAAAUCAACAUGCUAUAUAUAUUCAUAUAUAUAUAUGCUAUAUAUACAUAUAGAGGGAGAUUGAACUGGACAUAAAUAUUCAUAUAUAUGCUAUAUAUACAUCCGAUAGAAGUCUAUACAAUAUUUCAAGUAGAACAUGCUACCUCUCUUUAAUAACAUGAUUUGAUAUAUGGUACGUUAUACUAUUUCUGGAUCUGGAAGUCUAUUUAAGUGGGCUUGAUAAAUCAUGAUGACUUGAAGGGAUUUUAACAAAGACAAAAAUGAAUUUGUUGUCGCUCAUUUGUUUUCUUGUAAGAACAUACACAUGGUGGGAGUCAUUUUAUUUUGUUUUUGGUUCAAGUGGGAAUAAUAUUUGUUCUUGUUUCAACCAAACUGUACAAAGAAAGGAUGUGGGCAGAAGCAGAGAUGUUUGAAAAUAAUGCGUACGUUGGUUCAGUCAGAGAGAUAGAGACCAUUGGGCAUUUUCUUCCCAUCAAUUGAUUUGGUAUCGUCCUUUAUACUAGCAUAUAUGUUAAUUAGUCGACAUGAACCAUUUGGGCAUUUUCCUCGUGUUGAAAAUCGAAGUUAGAUUCGAUUUCCAUACAGUUAUCUAAUUGAACCCUUAUAAUUUUAAUUAUUAUGUUUCUAGAUAAAAUCAGAAAAUCUAUAACGAAUAUAAAGCAGAAACUUUAUGCUUUUGAACUCUCUUGUGGUGGGUGCACCAUGCAAAACAAAAAAUUGUCGCUUGUGUUGAUUAAUACUUCAUUUGAUUGGGAUCUCUAUUAUUUAUCUAAUCUUUUUAACUGGAUUUCAAGUUAAAAUAAUUAAAAAGCUUUAUUAUAUAUCUAUUUUUUAAUUGGAUUUAAAAGUUAUCAUAACUAAAGAAAAGCUCUGAAUUUAGUGAAAACAUAACUUAAAACGCAUAGAAAAACAACUCGAAAUUGAUCAGACAAAAUAAAUCAGUCAUGAAGUUAACUUAAGGAAAAAUAUAGAUAUGAAAGAAAUACAAGUGUUUAGUUGCUCUACUUUCCAGCUUUUGAGCAUAUCAUUUACGUCCGAAUAUAUAGGGAUUUAGGCAUAUCUUCUUACACCUUGUUAGAGGAACACAUACUCCUUGUUCAAGGCAAAAGAAAAAGAAAAAGAAAAUUAUCUGUACACAUAUCUUUCUAGAAACCUUCUUUGUUCGACAUCUUGUUGACAUACAUCGAACAUCAACUAGACUACUUGAUAAAGAAUCUAUUACUACAAAGACUGUUUAAUUACUAAAAUAAAAUAAAAAAAUAAGAAAAGCGCGCGGAAGCCAAAGUUUAUGAUACACUUACAAAGUUUGAUUUUUUUUUGUUUGUUAAACUGUAGAUAUGUUGAAAGCAUUAAACUAUAAGUGUGUAAUAGAUCAUACUAUAAUAUGAUUAAAUACAAUAUUCAUCCUCGAAAGGCUAGAUAUUCCAUCUCGGGCAAAUCCAUGGAUUUUGUCGAGACCAUAAUCAGACCAUGUUCAGUCCCUUCAGUUUCCUUCGUAUCCAAGCAAAUCAACAAUUCUUGGUCUACGUUAAACCCCUUUUUGCUCUUACCAUUAGCUGCGAUUUCUAUGUAUACACCAUACUCGAGAUCAGACGCCUAUAUAUAGCUAUAACCCCGUUCAUUAUUUGGAAUCAUCAGUUUAUUCCUACCAUAACCAUGGCUGAGAUUCCAGCAAAGAAACACCCUAACUCGAAAAACCGGAAUAGCUUUACCACUAAAUGCUCUUUCUUGGUGAAACAGCAUCGUGCCCGUCUUUAUAUACUCCGCCGCUGCGCCACCAUGCUCCUCCGCUCCUACAUUGAUCACGAGGACGACUAAACUUAUUUAUAAUAUAUACCCUUUCUAUAUAUAUCUGGCUAAAUUCAUAUUUUAGUUGAUCUCCGAUUCAUCAAGAGAGUCUCGUGGGUUUUUUUUUCUUUUUUUUCUUUUUUUUCUUCAACAUGGAUUAUGAGCGCCUACGUAAUACUUGCUUCACAAGUGACUUAGAAAAGACGUUUUAUGAAGGAUUUUAAUCAAUUUUUCCGCUCGCAAGAUUGACAUUAUCUUCGGUCGGCCACGAUUUUGCAAGAUGCAUGAAGACAGAGUAAAAAGAGGAUUACUGGUUCAUCAUUAAUCUAACCAAACAGUAUUUUUCCUUCAAGUUUAUUUUCUCUCCCUCUUCUUUAUUGGUUGAUUUUGUAAUAUGAGUGUUGGAAUAAAGAUUUUUAUCAACAAAAAAUAGAAAAUAUGUAAUAGAGUGUAAAACCAAUAUGAUUUCAUAUUGAAAACUGAAAAUCCUUUAAUAUUUUUUUCGGUAUACUACAUUACUACAACUAUAAUAGACAACGUGGUUCUCUGUGAAUGGCUCUUGAGGAAUGGGAGAUCAUAGUAGAGGAGACACGUAUUGUAUUAAUGCUAUAGCAUAUGUAAAGUGUCAACUUCCUCUUCUUCGCUUCUUCUGUAUUAUUCACACUCACACAUAGACAAGUUUGACUCAGCUCAUUUCUUGAUCUUCUUGAUCUUGUGGUCGCUUUAUUAUUUUUGUUCUUUAGAAAGUCGACUUAUUAUUACUAUAGAGAUUUUGAAUUGUUGUCGUUCAAAAUGGGAUGAAAAUAUCUGGUUUGUGCACAGAAAUUUUCAUAUUUUUUUUUUAUAUAGUAAGUUCUUUUAAAAUAAUAGAGAAACGACCAAUUGUGGCCAUAAAUUAAGAGAGAUGUGUGUGGGGGAUCAUAUCGUACGUUGUUUCACUAAUUUUAUCUCUCUGCUUUAGAUACCUUGCCGUCCUCCAAUUUAUUGAUCGUCUCUUUCUUUGUUAGUUAACAUGGACCACUCUACAUGUUCCUCGUGCUGAAAAUAAUCGAAGUCUGAAUUUAGGGUUUUACUUAGCAAAAUGGGAGUUAGAUAUUUCUCUUUUCAGUUUUUACUGGUAUACCCUGUUUUAACCGCUUACGAUUCUAUAAAUACCGACACACAAUGUGUUUGGUCUCCACAACUCAACUCAACUCGCUAAAACACAUAAAACAUUCAAAAUGAAGAAACCUUCAGUAGUCUCUUUUCUCAUCACUCUCCUGCU